ACCUGGGCUAAUACCGCAUUAAUUACCGAGAGGUCAAAGGAAGCAAUUCGCUUAAGGAGGGGGUCGCGGCCGAUUAUUAUUUGGCGGGGUAAUGGCCCACCAAAACUAUAAUCGGUAUCCGGCCUGAAGAAGGGCGCCACGGAACACACUGGAAACUGAAACACGGUCCAGAACUCCUACGGGAAGGCAGCAGUGGGGAAUUUUGCGCCAAUGGGGGAAACCCUGAACGCAGCAACGCCGCGUUGGAGGGAUGAAGUCCCUUGGGACGUAAACUCCUUUUCGAUCGGGACCGAUUAUGACGGUACCGAGAGAAGAAGCCCCGGCUAACUUCGUGCCAGCAGCCGCGGUAAUACGAGGGGGGCGAGCGUUGUUCGGAAUUAUUGGGCGUAAAGGGUGCGUAGGCGGUUUGGUAAGUCUUGUGUGAAAUCUUCGGGCUCAACUCGAGGUCUGCAUGAGAAACUGCCG
rnacentral:rRNA from 1 species